rnacentral:rRNA from 1 species
CAGCCGCCGCGGUAAUACAGAGGGUGCAAGCGUUGUUCGGAAUUACUGGGCGUAAAGCGUGCGUAGUCGGUAUUGAGAGUCACGGGUGAAAUCCCCAGGCUUAACCUGGGAACUGCCUGUGAGACCUCAGUACUAGAGUGUGAGAGGGGAUAGUGGAAUACCAAGUGUAGCGGUGAAAUGCGUAGAGAUUUGGUGGAACACCGGUGGCGAAGGCGGCUAUCUGGCUCACAACUGACGAUCAGGCACGAAAGCGUGGGGAGCAAACAGGAUUAGAUACCCCUGUAGUCCCUGUCUCUUAUAC